GAUGAACGCUGGCGGCGUGCCUAAUACAUGCAAGUCGAGCGAACAGACGAGGAGCUUGCUCCUCUGACGUUAGCGGCGGACGGGUGAGUAACACGUGGAUAACCUACCUAUAAGACUGGUAUAACUUCGGGAAACCGGAGCUAAUACCGUAUAAUAUAUUGAACCGCAUGGUUCAAUAGUGAAAGACGGUUUUGCUGUCACGUAUAGAUGGAUCCGCGCCGCAUUAGCUAGUUGUUAAGGUAACGGCUUACCAAGGCAACGAUGCGUAGCCGACCUGAGAGGGUGAUCGGCCACACUGGAACUGAGACACGGUCCAGACUCCUACGGGAGGCAGCAGUAGGGAAUCUUCCGCAAAGGGCGAAAGCCUGACGGAGCAACGCCGAGUGAGUGAUGAAGGUCUUCGGAUCGUAAAACUCUGUUAUUAGGGAAGAACAAAUGUGUAAGUAACUAUGCACGUAUUGACGGUACCUAAUCAGAAAGCCACGGCUAACUACGUG
rnacentral:rRNA from 1 species